rnacentral:rRNA from 1 species
AUGAUCGGGCCCGACGGGGUCGACUUCUUCGCCGGCAACGGCGCCUUGGGGUUCGACUCCGGCGUCAGGGACCUUAACAUGGUAGGGCCGUUCAAGAUGGUCCUCCUCCCGCUCCUCACGCUGCUCUUCCCCUCCCCCUCCCCCGCAAGUGCCGCCUCGCAGUCCCCGCUCGCGGCCACCUCUAACGCCUCCUCCCACGCCUACGCCCGCCCCGUAUCCCACCUUCUUCAACGACGUCGUCGACGCCGUCGCCGACAAGUAUGGCUGCACCCCGAUGCCGAGGUCCAAGUCUGGCCACUAGACGCCAAGGGCGUGCUCGUCGGUGCCGUGCAGUGCUAUGUGUUUCGCGCCCACGCAAGGGGCGCCGCGGGUGCGCUAGCGUGGGCCUCUGAUGGGGCCGUCGAUUGGAGCCGCUCUAAUGCCCCCACGGUGGAGGAGGUGGUCGGGCCCGACGGGGUCGACUUCGUCGCCGGCGAUGACGCCCUGGCAUUCGACUCCGGCGUCACGGACCUGAACAUGGCAGGGCCGUUCGAGCUGGUGGUCUCCGAUGAAGCUGGUGAGGGCCUCGCAGAGCUCCAAUUGCUGUCGGGAACUUUGCUCUGUCAUUGA